rnacentral:lncRNA from 1 species
AAUCUCCAUCGAGCUUGAACAAGAGCAAUUUUAGAAUUGUGCAUGAGAAACGGGAUGGAUCGCCUCAGAAAAUCAGGUUCUGGUCGAAAAUCAGCAUCGAAAAUGGCAACGUAUUCGCAAUCUUUAACGUAAUCUCUUUUUAAUCCUUCUUUGAGAGCACCAGCUUUGUAUCCUCCCCUUGUUUCUCUGAUUUGGUAGGUAACGUUUAAGCCUUUGGCUGCCCACCUUUUGCAUUCCUUCUCAACUAAAUCCUGCGGCAUUAGUUAUAAUUACUAAAACGCUUAAUCAACAUUUAUCGAAUGAUGAAUCGAGCUAUAUUAAGUUGAACUUGGAAUUACCUUGAUAAUAGGGUCAGUUGAAUCAUCAAGAACUUGAAUAACGAGACGAUCUGCAGGCCAUGAGAGGUUACAUGCAGCUCCAAUUGAGAUCUUGUAAACCUGCAAAGAAAAUAACAAGUUUUACACAAGAACAAUAGACAAAUAUUAACAGAGCAUAAUACACCAAUUGCGAAAAUCAAGUAAUGUGAUAAAACUAACCUCUCUUUCAUUGAACAUAGGAAUCUGAAUAAGAACCAAUGGAAAAGUAGAGCUUCCAGCUUCCAAAUCUUCCUUCAUGGGCUCCCAGUUGUAUCUUUUCUCCGGCUUUUGCCAGAAGAGUUUCACCAGAACAAUGACUAUACCCAUGUAUAAUCUCUCGGCAAACAACAUGAGUUCCAUAACUAAACAUACAACCACUGCAAAUUUCAGCAAUGGUACAAUCAGUGGGACUCUAAUGAGCUCCCAGAGUAAUCCAAUUUGUGAAGUUAAAUCCACUGUUGUUCCCUGAAAUGCCUGCGGCAUGAAACUAUUUGCAGAAACUUCAGCCAUUUUUUCUACUAAAAACAGAGGAAAAAACAGGGGAAAACAGAGUAAAAAACAGGGGAGCUAAAUAGCAACCACUAGAUCUGUUAAUGCAAUCAAACCAUUUUGUGGGUAUGUGUAGAUUUUGUCUGUGAUGCUAUACAACAAUGUGGGUGAUAUUUGAGUGAAGCAUUUUUAGCUCUAUCUCAAGUGGGCUAUAUUAGAUCUCUGUUUUUCUCUGAAUCACACAUAAUAGAAGAAGAGGCAGAGCAGGAUUGCUGCACUGUCUAAACAGAGAGUAAAGAGAGUGAGUAAUGGAGAGAGAGAAGUGUGCUCAUUUAUAAUCCUUUUUUCCCUUUAGUCUAUCUCCGUAUUUUUUUUUUUAAAUUUUACUGCUCAUUUCUGACUUUGUUUUGGCCGGUUGCUUCUUAGUCUUGUAGUUAUUAUUAUUGAAUUGUUUGCAAUUUUUCAUGGAAUUCGUGUCGAAUCAAAUUUAUUCAAAAUGUACGCAGAUGUUAGGAAUUUAAGUCAAAUCAAUUAUAUUCAGUAUUUCGUCCUAUACAUAUAUGAAAUGAGUAAACUUUAUUUACGAUAAGAAUGGAAUAGACAGAGUAUUUCCGUAAGAAUCCAUAAUAUUAGAUACGAAGAUUAUUUAUAGAAAAAAAUAGGUGAACUGAAGAAAUAAAAAUGUCGGUAACCAUAAUGUGAGAUGGGGCUAUGCUUAGCAGCAAUAGAAGAAGAUGGGGCAUCAAAUGAUGAAUCAUAUAGAGCCAGCUAGAGAUGUAUAGAUAAAAAUAAAGCAAAUGGGUGCACACUGCACACACAUAUAAUUGGCUUUUAGUGUAGUCUUCCAUGUUCCAUCCAUUUAACUCAUAUGUUCAUACUUAUGUAACAACAAUCACAAAGUUACAGUCCAGAACACACAUGAGUUGUUCCAUGAUUUUAGGUGUGUUUACAUGUGGGCAAAACUUGGAGCCUGCUUGCAUUAAGAUGCUCUUCGAUCAAUAUCUUCAAUCAUGCGCUAAAAAUAAAUAAUUCAUAUUUUAAACAAAAAUUUCUGAUCAUUAUAUAAGAAAAGUUUUAAUUGUAAUGAGACAUUAUUGUUAUAUACGAUUUUAAGGGAUUGUGCUGUUGGCGGGGUGGUAUGCGAUUAGAAUAAGGAAUCAGAUUAAGAUUAAGGCGGUAUCCAUCUAUUUGGUUGAGUAUUGAAAUCAAUAUAUUUAUUAUUGUUCAAAAAAUAAGUUAUUAAUUUAUAUCACUAGAGACUGAGUUUUACAAAAUAUAGUUUUAUAAUUUAUUUUAAAAUUUUGAUUAAAAAUUUGAAUAUUAAAAAUUUUUUUAGAGAAAAAAUUAAAAUAAUUUAUGGAACUAUAUUUUACAAGAGACAAAUAUGUGUCGAAUUCUAUUUCCCGAACAAUUUUUUUUUUAGUUAUAUGUUAGGUGGGUAGUGGGUACAGGCAGGGUACUGAACUACUGUCUACUCAUGCAUAAUACAUAAGUACAUUUUGGCAUCCUGUUUAAAUUUACUCAAACACAGUGAUACAUCUUUUUCCUCCCUCCGGCAAAUACCAGGCUUCUCCAUCGAGGUAUCGACUGAUUUUUUCACUCUAAAUCUUCAAUUUCAUAAUAUGAUUCAUCUCCAAAAUUCUCUAUUAAAAAUUCGCAAUUUGAAAAAGAAAAAACAGAGCUUUUAAGCUGUUCGAUAAAAUGUCACAGUGAAUUUUGUUGGAUAUAGUUUGAUAUAAAUCAAGCGUUUUUUUAAUUUCAUCAACAUAUGUUAAAAGCGUGACACACCAUAGUCUACAUCCUGUAUCCGCCACUGGAUUAGAGGACAGGAGAUAACGACGUGUAGCUUUUACAGGCAUGAAUGAUCAGGCCCGAUACAAGUCAUUCUAGAUUUUAGAACAAGUGGCCACUGCUGCGUGCCUGCGUCCAUGCGAAGUGGUAGCAAUGAACCAAAUGCUUGUCAAGACUGAAGAUACUAUGGGAAUAAAUUGCAAAUAAUUUGAGUUGCAUAGAAAUUGAAAGGAACUGGAGUUGAUAAUAUUGAAAUGAGCAAGUUGAUUAAAGAUGGUCAUCUUGAAAAUAGCUUUUCAGUUAGAGGUAUUUCAGGCGCAAUUUGAGCUCGGAAACUUGAGCCUACAUUUUCAGUCAAAUUGUUCGGCGCAUCAUUUAGCAGGGGAAAAAAAAAAUUGUUCGGCGCAUGCAGCACCUAAAUUCUAUAUUGGUGUUUAUAAGUUAGCAAAAACUCUGUUUUCGUUUGUCUAGAAGUCGGUUCUCGAUUGGUGCUGUAAUUUACGGAGAACCAAUAUAACUUUUUAUUUGAAUUUGAGGUUGAUUAGUACCCAGAAAAGAGAAAUAGAUCAUUUUUUUUGGAAAAUAUGGGUUAUAUGAAAUUCAGUUUACUAAUUGAGAAAUUUGUUGUUCGCCAAAUAUAAUCAGACUUGACUAAAGUUAUGAAUACAGAAAAUGUACGUAUGAAAUGUAAAAUUUUGAAAAGAGUAUAUAUAAUUUUAUUUUUAAUAUAUUUUACUGAGUUGGAGUUGCUCCGAUAAAUUAUGCGGGAAGUCAUCUUUCCACUCUGUUUCGUCUUUAAUCUUCCGAUAACUUGUUAUCAUAUGUGUUUCACAUUUGUUUAACAGAGGAUUGGUAUAUUAAUCCUUCCAUCUCAUCUCAUGUGUUUUCUUUUGAUUACUAGAUAAUCAAUUCUUUUUUUAUCAAAUUUUGCCCAAUAGUUAAGGAAAAUUUAUUAACUAUUCUAAAAAUAAAAAAAAAUGGAUUUUUAAGGUUAUUAGAUUUAUUUUCUAAAUAUAUAAGUUUUCUCAAUCUUUUUAAGUUGGAUAAUAUGUGUAAUUUACUAUCAAAGUUUAUUCUUCAAUAAUUAAAACAUGACAUACACUAUGAAAUGUACGGAGUAUAAUAUUUUGAUAACUUUUAAUAAUAUAUAAUUAAUGCGUAAUUUCCGGUAUCACAAAAGUGGAGAGCCUAAUAAAUAUAAGGACGUCACGUACAAAAUUAUAAUCCAACAACUUGAUUCUUGGAGUCAUUUUCCGUGGGGAGUGGGAUAUGUAUAAACACAAGAGUAGAUGUAAAUAAAUUUGUUAUUACCAGAAAAAGUUAACCAGAAAUAGGCAAGCAAAAGAUAUGAAAAUAGACGGUUGAGUGUUGAGGACCACUCGUAGUGACAAAUCAUAGAUAGUUGAAUAUGAAUUUAUAAUGCCGUGAGACCUGUGAGUGUGAAAACUCGGACAAGUUCGUGGUUUUAUCGGGGUUUGAGUUGAGGCUUGGGAUUUAUUUGGAAAUACCAUUGUGGCUAUUAAUACAAUUGAACUAUAGAAUAUUUACCAUUGAAAUUAACUGAAUUUAUAAGUGCAAGAAACAUUUAUAUUCAAUUAUUAUUAAAACUAUAAAAUAUAAGAGAAAUAUGUAUACAAAUUUCAUUCUAAAAUUUUCAAGUAAUUUUAUGUUGAAAAAAUAACUUCAAUUAAUCAUAACUUAAAAUAAUAAUAAUAAUAAAAAAAUUAAAAAUUAGCAUUAUCCAAAAUACCUUAGCCUCCUGACAGAUCUUUCCAUCUCCUUUUUUUUUCCCAAUGCGCCUUCAGGAGUUCAGGGUCUUCAGUCACUUUUUACUGUGAAAUCUUUAUUUAUUUAUUUUAAAUAAUACUCUUUGUUUGGCCGGGAUUACCAUCUUUUAAAAUUAUUUUAUUUGUUUUAGUUAUUAUUUUUUUGUUGAAUUUUAUUCCCAAUUUAUCUAAAUUUUAUUUUGCUUGGUAACUUUUUUUUUAUAUUUAGUCUAAUUCAAUGUCCUAGAUGCUGUUGAUAGCACAAAUUGACUAUAAUGAAGGGGACAAUAUGCAUAUAUUAACUCGAAUUUCCGCUUGAUUGUCUUUUUCAUGAAAAUCAGAUUAAUCAAUAAUAUAAUUUAUUUUAUAUUUAUUGAAUAUAAUUAUUUUUCAAGUGUUAUAUGAUUCUUCAUUGUUAAAUUAACUCUUUUUCAGAAAAUAUAAGAAUAUAAAUAAUUAUUAUAGCCACCAGUAUAGUACAUUCAAAAUUUAUUUAGUUUUUUAACUAAUAUAUAUUCAUCCUCAUAUAUAAUUUUUUAUAAUGAUAAAUUAGUGAUAUAUAUUAUUUCUUAAAUUAAAGUUAAUUAAAAUUUUAGUGAUUUCUCAUCAUGAUACCAUUUAAAUGAUUUCCAGAGUAGCAACACAAAAGUACGUAGAUAAAAAAUCAGCUGCUAACAAAGAAGGCAUAUUAUAAUGCUAAUAUUAUAUUAUAAAGCUUCGCCCUAUGAUUGUGCAACUUUAAAAGAUUGAAAGGUAAAGUAUCGAUGUAAGCAGAUUUAAGAGUAAAGACAGAUGCAAGAUACUUUGUCCAAUUUUCAAGGUAAAAUGCCUUGGCCAUUACUAGGAGUCUUAAGUGCAUUGUAGAUUUGUAUUUGAUUUCUUUCAAUUAUUAAUUUGCAUGCAAUAUAUCUGUUGCAUUAGAAAAUUCUUCUCGACGAUUCGGCUCCUUUUUCAGUUAUGUUUUGGUUGAAAAACAUUGAUAACAGAGGUCAUACAUAUGCCUUUGUCAUAUGAACAUGACAUUCUAGAACUUGGGUUCAUUUUGUAUAAAAUGAAAUGAGAAAUUAUUGGAAAGUUUUAAAGUGGAAAAAAGUACGAGACAAUAUUGACUAAAACUAUGUCGGUCUAAAAUUAAAUGAUGAAACUUGUAGAGAAAUAAGAUAAAGAAGUUGAACAUUAUUUCUUCUAAAACAUGUGAGUUCGUUUUUAGUUCAAAUUGUUUGGAAUGAUUUUAGAGUAUAAAUUUCAUUCUAUCCAUGUGAAUGCAAACCAAGUCUAACAAAUAAUGAAUCAGUUAUAAUUAUAAUUUUGUAACAGGAAGAAUGAAUCAGUUUGAAAUGAAGCGUAAUCAGAUAAUCCCCUGUACAUUUUGAUGAAAUGGUGAAAGCGAAAGGUAAGAAUAUAAAACUCUUAUGGUGAAAGUAAAAGGUAAGAAUAUAAAACUCUUAAACUCAUCUAACAUAUUAAUAUUCACAGAAAGUAAGGACUAUGAAGAUGGUAAGAAAAUUUUGUGACAAAUUACAAGGUUGAUUCUUCUGACAGUUUAUUUCACUCUUCAAACUGAGAAAAAGCUACAUGUAUAACUGAAGGGAUUUGGUGAACAAAUAAGACAAUAACAAAUGAUAUAAUUCACAAAUAAUAACAUGGAUACUGAUCUAAACUCUGAAGAUACAAUAGCUGCAAUCUAUACUUUUAUCAACCUUUCCUGACUCUUCUGUAUCUACCCUAAAACCAUUACCAAACUGUUUUCUUUUCUAGUUUCUGGCUUCUUCUCUAAGAACCGAUGAACGAAAUCAUUGCUGAACAGAAACACACAUUCUAUAUACGCAUGGAAAGAAGAACGAUGUAGCACGAAGGAUAUGUUGCUGAUGCUUGCUUUGUCUAUUAGGUUGGGACAAUUGUGCCAAUAUAGCCGAAUCCCACAAUUGAAAAGGUUAUUGUCUGGAGGAACAUGUAAACGAAGUAAUUGUUUUUUCCAUAUAGAUAAUCAUAGCAGCCGCAGAAGAAGAGAAAUGCUGUGAAGCCCAGCUCUGUAACAUGUAUCCUGAAAACACAUCACAGGAGUUGGAAAGGGGAACCAGUAGUUACAAAUCAAUGUUAUAAACAAGGAUGUACAUUUUACUCUACUGAUAGAGAUGUGCUGAUGAUGAUCACAUAUGCUAUGUUAAGAACUCAGAACGACUCUAAAUGUUGUCACUAGAACUGAAUGCACAUUUUUAAGUAUUAUUACCUGUCUCCUAUAUUGAAGUUGAACUGGAACUUCUUGUUCGAUUUGCUGUUUUUGUUCUUAAGACCAUCUCCUAGUUUCUCAGUCACAACCCAUUCAUUAGCUCUUUUUGCUUCAAAUAAACCAAUGAAGGUUGCCUUGGUGCGGUGGAAAGACAUGACAUUUUCAAACAAAAUCCAGUAAAACAAUAAAUGGAUUGACCUGCAAAAUCCAGUUCAACAAACUAAGGGAAAAGAUAAAAUUUUAAAAGGUCUCAGAUAUAUUAGAAAAGAAGUUCCCGGACCUUGGUGUUCCAACUGAAUUGAGAGUGGUGAUAAUGCAAGGAAUGUAAAUGGCUCCCCAUUUUGGAACAUCGAUUUCAGGAACCAUGAUGGUUAAUGGAAGGACGACGCAGAAAAAGAAAAAUGUGACCAUAUGAGCUAUGAUCUUCCUCACAAAGAAGAAGCUGUAUAUUACAUAAACCUUCUUCCAGAAGUUCACUUUCUGCAACAAUCAGCACAAAAUAUAAAGAUAUAUUGUUAAUACUGUUUCGGUUUAGAUAGAAUCAGAAUUGUGACACUAUAGUGUAGUAAACAUGCCUUGUUCCUCACGAUUUCCAUCACCAUUUUCCUGAACAAAUUAGCAGGACCACACGACCAUCUAUGUUGUUGAUACCGGAAGGCUUUGAAAGUACUAGGAAGUUCACUUUUUACCUGUGGUAAAAUUAUCACAUAAAAACUGUUAUAAGCUAAAAGAACUGAUCUUUAAGUUGUUAUGAAAUAUAUGAUGUAUCAUACAAUGCAAAAUCACAUAAGAAGUAUUAGGUACCUGAAGAUCACCAAGAUAAACGAAUUUCCAGCCCCUAAGACUAGCUCGGACAGCAAGAUCCAUAUCUUCGACUGUUGUUCGAUCCUUCCACCCACCUGCUUCAUUGAUAGCAGCAAUUCUCCAUAUACCACCCGUCCCUGUACAAUGGUAGAAUUAAGAAAAAACUGCCAGGCCUGUAAUAAAUUACAGGGAGUGUUCAUAAUAAUGCAUAAAGAAGACAUCCUAAACUCAUAAAUUUUGAAACUUUGGUUGGCCAAUCUAUCAGUGCUUCACAAGCAGUAUUUGACUUGAAGGGAUUGGACCACAGACCUAAAAACUCAACAAGUGAUCAAGUCUGGAUAUUAAUAAUCAAAAUGGACCAUUGUCUCUAUGGUCUUGGGCAUAAGAGUCACAUGUCAUGAUUGUUUUUAGAAUCCAAAGUAUCUACAAAAAUUGAGUCAGGGUUUAUUCUUGUAGAUGGCAAGUCAGGGUCUGCCACCAGAGUAUGAAACUGUCAAGUUAAUUGAGAAGUUGGGACAAGUAAACAUAGGCAGUAACUGUUAAAACAUUUUGUCAAGUCAUAUUUUUUGUAGUGUGCAUCGUUCUUAUUUUUUUUCUUUUCCUGUUGGGUAUUUACAUACAAAGGAGGCAAAUGACAAUUCGAACUCAUUAUUGUAAUCAUUCAGGGAGGAAGUGUUUUUGAGUAAGCUUAUAAGCUAAUAGAGUGGUAUCAAGACAAAAGGACGGCAAAUGUUAAUAAUGGAAGCUGAAAUAUAAGUACCAUUGAAACCAAAGAAGGCAUGAGUAGCUGAUCCUACUUCUUGCUCCACUGUAAAAUGAUAAUCCAGUGACAUCUCUUGCAUUCUUGUCAUCAAGCAUUCAUCAGAAUUCACUGCAAUAUUAAUCACACUUAUUCCCUUGAUAUUUCAUGUAUAAAAAACAGCUUUUUUUAACACCAGUUAUAUCAGACCAAAUUAUCAAAUAGAAAAAAAUAGACAGUCAGACACAUCAUAUACUAUAUACUCAUGUAUACAGAUGCAUAUAAAAUGUUUAUUGUGGAAGACCAUAGGCCUAAGUGUCGGUGAGCCAAUCAUCUCUCAAGUUGACAAACUUACCUCUGAAAUCUAUACACUUUCUCUGCCGAUUUAUCCGGGGAAGAACUUUGUUUUCUACCUCAAAAAUAAUAGUUUUUCUUACACCAAUAUAAUAUUACCGGUCAACAAAAUUUGAUACCUCAAGCAGAAAGAAACAAUUCUAUAAUAAAACUACUUCUUAAUAUUGGAAAUUUUGGUAGGACAAUGUAAAAAAAGGGGAAGAUGCAGGAGUGGUUCUACAAACUACCAACACCUUGAGAGGUCCAGACAAUCAUAUUGAGACAGUCAAAUUGGCCCACUCCACCUGCAGUGUAUUUCAGGGAAUCCCCACUUCACCAUGCCAACAGGUUAAAACAAAUUUAACAAACGUUCGAAAGUACGCUGUGACGGAUGAGAUGCAAACAAAAUUUAAAUGUUUCGAAAAUUAUUCGUUUUAUAGGAACCUACAAAAACCUUCACUGUCUAAAAUAUCUUACUGAAAACAUGACACAGUCCUGCUUUAAGAAUCUUCUCAUUCUCAAAGGUAAAACGGGUGACACACUAAACCACCGACACUCUUAAAAUGAUAGCAGAAACAUAAUAUGAUAGAAACAACAAGAAGUAGUUAUAGUGGAAAAUUUUAAGACCGUGACACUGCUUAAUUUGAUUAGUUGGUUAGUAGGUUUACCGAAUCUCCAUCUAGCUUGAACAAGCGCAAUUUUGGAAUUGUGCAUGAGGAACGGGAUGGAUCGCCGCAGAAAAUCAGGUUCUGGCCGGAAAUCAGCAUCGAAAAUGGCAACAUAUUCGCAAUCUUUAACGUAAUCUCGUUUUAAUCCUUCUUUGAGAGCACCAGCUUUGUAGCCUCCCCUUGUUUCUCUGAUUUGGUAGGUAAUGUUCAAGCCUUUGGCUGCCCACCUUUUGCACUCUUUCUC